rnacentral:rRNA from 1 species
UACGUAGGGAGCGAGCGUUGUCCGGAUUUAUUGGGCGUAAAGGGCGCGUAGGCGGUUAAGUAAGUCGGGUGUUAAAUCUCCAAGCUCAACUUGGAGCUGCCACUCGAAACUGCUUUGACUUGAGUCUGGUAGGGGAACACGGAAUACCUGGUGUAGCGGUGAAAUGCUUAGAUAUGCCAUAGAACACCAAUUGCGAAGGCAGCUGGCUAGACCUGGAUUGACGCUGAGGCACGAAAGCGUGGGGAGCGAACAGG